rnacentral:rRNA from 1 species
GACGAACGCUGGCGGCGUGCCUAAUACAUGCAAGUAGAACGCUGAAGGAGGAGCUUGCUUCUCUGGAUGAGUUGCGAACGGGUGAGUAACGCGUAGGUAACCUGCCUGGUAGCGGGGGAUAACUAUUGGAAACGAUAGCUAAUACCGCAUAAUAGUAGAUGUUGCAUGACAUUUGCCUAAAAGGUGCAAUUGCAUCACUACCAGAUGGACCUGCGUUGUAUUAGCUAGUUGGUGGGGUAACGGCUCACCAAGGCGACGAUACAUAGCCGACCUGAGAGGGUGAUCGGCCACACUGGGACUGAGACACGGCCCAGACUCCUACGGGAGGCAGCAGUAGGGAAUCUUCGGCAAUAGACGGAAGUCUGACCGAGCAACGCCGCGUGAGUGAAGAAGGUUGUCGGAUCGUAAAGCUCUGUUGUAAGAGAAGAACGAGUGUGAGAGUGGAAAGUUCACACUGUGACGGUAUCUUACCAGAAAGGGACGGCUAACUACGUG